rnacentral:rRNA from 1 species
UACGGGGGGGGCAAGCGUUGUUCGGAAUUACUGGGCGUAAAGGGCUCGUAGGCGGCCAACUAAGUCGGAUGUGAAAUCCCCAGGCUUAACCUGGGAACUGCAUCCGAUACUGGAUGGCUUGAAUCCGGGAGAGGGAUGCAGAAUUCCAGGUGUAGCGGUGAAAUGCGUAGAUAUCUGGAGGAAUACCGGUGGCGAAGGCAGCCCCCUGGGUUAACACUGACGCUCAUGCACGAAAGCGUGGGGAGCAAACAGG